AUGGUGCAAGGAGACGCCCCGGUGAACCUGUUCUGCCAGCGCGUUAAGACCAUUGGCGAUGAGCUCCGCGAACUCGGCGAUACAGUUAGCGACUCACAGCUAAUCAAUAUCGUCGUCGUCGGCCUCAGCGAAGACUUUGACAAGCAAGCCUCGUUCAUACCGAUGAUACGGCCCCCUCCUACCUUCGCUGAAGUACGUUCCUUACUACAACUCGCGGCGGAAACACAAGCUCGCAAGGACUCUCGCCCCAAGGUCUUUCAUGCUGCGGCUCGUCCUCCUCUGUCGUCUACACCAGCGCCGCCUUCCAGGCCGGCUCCUGCCGCCGGGCCGUCCGCAUCGUCAUCUGUUGAACCGCCCCCAGGCUGGCGUCCUAGUCCGAACUACCGCGGCAAAAACCCUAUCUACAGGCCGCCGCCGACUCGUUCGGUUCCGCCUACGACAUCACCAGCACCGAGUCCUGCACCACCCACCAGUGCUCCAUCUGCGGUUGCAUGGCGGCCUCCUCAUGAUCCUUGGACGGGGCUUGUUCAAGCAUGGCCCAUGCCCUAG
rnacentral:rRNA from 1 species